rnacentral:lncRNA from 1 species
CCAUAUUUCAGCUAGUUUCUUUCUGCUUACCCACUGACUUUUUUGCACGAAAAGUGGGAGCAAUGUAGUCAGCACUUUCUCCUGAGAGGUGUCAACCGGAAGCCUUGUGUUACUUCACCUUGAGGCAGGAUUUAAACCUGGCUCUGUUGUAUGUGGGAUAUGAGCUGUAAAGCUGCAGGUGGAAAGAACACAGUGUUUGCAGCUUGUGGGGAGGAGUGUGGGUUGCCUUUCUUUUUAAUUUUUUUUUUUUUUUUUAAUUUUAAAAAGAAAACCAGCAGGAAUUAAGUAAUGGAAGCUUUCUGUGAAUGAGAGAGCAGCAUCUGAGUACCUGUCACCUCUACAACUGUUUUUCAUUAAUACCAAGUAGUGGCAAGUUCCUAUUAUAAAGGAAGUCUCACAGCCUCUAGGGUGUGCUGGGACCACUGAGUGAUGUCUAUCUAUGACCCAGAAUGGGGACUGUUAGUGAACUGAUUACUGAAAAUGAAGUCAAUGGAGCUACAUUUACUGAAGACCCAAAUGACAUCAGGACUCACAAGUGGAAACAUUCACAAAAAUCCUCAGCAUAACCUUUAUAAGCACAGCAACGCUCUCUGUAAGAUUCAGCAUCUACAUAGAAGAUUUGAUAACCUAUAUCCAUUCCAUCAGAAGGAAAAAGACAAUAUAUCUUUGGAGAAUGAAGUCAGGUGAAGAAGCUAAAAGCAUGGAUCUGUAGGGAUGAGGGGUUGACAGAAAAGUGAUACAGCAGAGCAGCGACUGGUCAGGAAGAAAUCACAAGUAUGAAUUCCAGAUAUGAACUGUAUUUGUUAACGCUUCUAUAUACAACUAUGAAGUAAUUUGAAUGAAACAUGGAUUUUUUUUCUUCUCCAGAAAGCUGGCACACAAAGAACAUUCCUGUUUUCAGAUGUGAGCAUGCUCUUCUAAAGGUAUCACAUAGCAGGUAUCACAGGAUCACAGCUUUAUGCUCACAUACAAGGUGUUUUCCGUUAUGUUUCUUGUGCAAGCACUGUGUGUGUAUGCAUUGGCAUUGCUAUUAAUGGUACUAAGUGGAUUAAUUAGAAGCUGUCACUGCAUUGCAGUCAGUACUUUCUGACAACUCAGUAAUGCUCCUGGGGAAUAUCAGCUUGUAUCCUGUAGAACAUAAUUCCAGAACUAUUUUAAUUCUUUCUCAACAAACAGUUCUGGAAGCUCCAGACUCGCCUCAGACAAAUUAGGGACUUCUUCUCUUCCCUAAUUGUGUUUGGAGCUUCUCUGCUUUUCUUAGAAUGUGUUUAAGCUCAUUCAGCAUUUGAUAAGGAGUAUAUACAAUAUACCCUGUUACUAUAAGAAGACUGGAACGCUUCUGAAUGAAUAGCACUGGCUAAACAGGCAAUGUGAUGGAGCAGCGUGUCUUACCAGAAGAUCUGAGCCAUUAUUUCAGCUUAGGAACAUGGACAGUUGGGUUGGCCUUAGUUCAGACAUUUCUGUCCUGAGGUGGUGACUUACAGCGUGCUGACUCAGGGAUUCAGGUGAGCAUUCACUGAGUUGAGAGGUAAAGCACUGAGGCUAACUUACAUGGUUCCUCAGGACAUGUGUCACAUUUGGCAGUAUAUGUGAUUUUGGAUCAAACUGAAAAUGAAUUCUUGCAGAAUAAUGAAAACUGUGGCUUAGUAGAGUCAUGUUCAAGAGAGAGCAUAUGGCUGUGAAGACUGAAUUCUAAACUGUGAUGUUUCUUCUUCUAUGUUACUGAAAAUCUUAUAAAUUUUGCCCAUCCUCCUUAGCAGCCAUGAUGAGCUGGACUGUACCGAGAUAUGGAUUCUUAAAGACGGCAGAUGCUUUUAAAGUGUUUCUCCUAAAGUGUUUCACCUUGUCAUAAUUCGAAGCCCUCUGGUUGCUGCUCAGGCAUCCUUUUUGUGUCAAAAUUCCAUUUAUGUGUACUUACUAUAAAGACCAUUCAUUCAAAAGUCCCAAUGCUGCAGUCAGCAGUGAUAUAAAAAUCUUGGCCUUCCUGCAAUUGUAGGGAAAUUGCAGAGGCAAUUGGAUUUUGCUAUGAACCUCACUUACAGGAGCUCCCUCUCAUCAACUUGCUCUGGAGCCAGGCUUGCAUUUGUUCUCAUGUUUGUCUUUGUAGAUCCUAAGGAUCAAGAGCUUGAAUCAGAUCCGUCUAGGUGAAAAAGAAAAAGCAGUUACCAAUAGCUAACUCCUUGCUUGAACUGCUGCUCUGACUAAGAAGAAACAAUCAUCAGGAGCAAAGAUGUUUAGUCUUCUGAUCGAUUAGUUUCGUCACUUUUACAUUAACGCUAUCUUUUUGGCUUGAGAAAUGGAGGAACAGUCUGGUGACUGAGCCAGUACAGCAGGCUAUAGACUGCAGUUGUGAAUCAUAGCACAACGGCGUGUGAGUCAGACAAGUUUAAGUAUAUUCCCUUUACUUUUCCUUUAUGUUACGAAUAUUCCCCUUAUGUGCUUUCAUUCAUAAAUAGUAUUUUAUGUGCAUAUGGGUGGACAACGUUACAAAUGUGACGUGGGUGCAAAUUAGUAAGUAUUAUUGCAGUCCAACAUUUGUCACUUGUGAAAAUGUUAGAAAUAUUAUUGCAGAAAAAUACAGAUUAGAGAAGAAUGAUUCUGAAGCCUUCUCUUGGUUUUAAGAAUUUCACUCAUCUCCUCACAGCAUGGUGAUGGCACAUCAAACUGGACUCGUCUGUAACUCAUGUCAUGCUGCUGUGCCUGGCUGCCUUUGACUUUGCAGCUCAUGCAGGUUAAGUACUCCAUUGCCACUGCUCUGAGUGUGGUCUUUGGCAUGCAACCCAGCAUCAGGAUUAGAACUCACACUUCUGGAUUUGCAGCAGUUCCUUGGGCAGCUCUGACACUAAGCCCUUUAUCAGAUUAAACAGCAGAAAGGAAAUCCUUUGGCUCAUUUGACUGCUGUAGCUCGGUGUCUGUAUAUUGAAUUAUUUGCCAUUGAUUCAGGCCCAAAUGGCAUCAGAUAAAGCUCCCUUGUGUUGGUUAACUUCAAGCCAUAAUUUUGGUAAGACAUCUGGUUGCAGACAUUUCACAAGCAGAAAGAAGCGAAGGUGAUUCUUUCAUUCUUGUCAUACAAUUUUGACAGUCUAUAAAACCAUAUUGUACUUGUUUAAUCACAGGUAAAAUAAUGCUUGUGGUGUGUACUUGGUAUUUCGCCAUGUUAGAGAAAUAAAUCAUCUAAAGCUCUUUGCA